AAUUGCUGUGCGUUAGUCUCGCUAAAACUCGAGAAUGGCUGGACCGAUUUGGCUAAUUUUGAUGUUGAAUUAUUUGUGGAAGUCCAGGGAAGGUUUAUACGGUUUUAUAUUGUCAUUUUAGUAGCCACCAAAAUUUUUACAGCUAUAUGUAUAAAAUGCUCUUUUUACAGUGUUUGUUGCCAUACUCCUCCGAAACGACUUGACCGAUUUUUAUGAAGUUUUGCAAGUAUCUCGACCAGACGGGGAGUAGGUUGUUAUCUAUAUUUCAUACCCGUGCGUGUUAAGGGGGGCUGCCCCCUGAUAUUUUUUUCUGUUUUUUCGGACAAACUCUUUUUUUUAAUUUUAUAUGAUGUGGAACGUAAAGAUACAUACAACCCUAAAUUUUCACUUUUCUAUCACUAACCGUUAUUUUUUAAUGGCCAUUUAAAUAUUUUACAUCUAUAUAACCAAAAGAAGGUCGUGACAGUUACCAACACAUAACUCGA
rnacentral:lncRNA from 1 species